CUGAAGUCUAUGCCAUAAAAAGUGGCUGUUUCCAAGAAAAUGAAAUUAUCUUGUUAAUUGAUAAGCUCUAGCAUCCAGCUGCAGCUGAAGAGGUGACUGGUAUUUGUGUUUAAAAAGCAGAAAUGAUGGGGAGGUUUGCAGGAAUGUCACCUCAUCAGCCCAUACUCUAAAGUACCCCCGGUACAAAAAGUUUCCUCAUUUAAUAUAGGGCAAUAUGAGAAUGUAGUUUUAGGGCUGCCUCAACAAUCAUGCAGCUUUUUUCAUCAUUUAGAUUCAUUACUUUGCACUUUAAAAGACAAGCUAGGAGGGCAUAGAUAGAGAAGGAGUUUGUCACCUUUUCUGUCUUCAGCAGUGCAGAGGAAUCUCUUUCCCCCCUCUGUUGACUCUACAGAGCUCUCACAAAAUUCAGAUUCAGCUCUCAUAAACCCCAGGAGCUCCCUUAGGUACACUGUGUGAUUGCAGUGGGUAAAACUGAUUGGAAGUUUAUUUGUUGAUUGUAUUGUGCAAGACAAUCUUGCACCUCUGCCAACCUGAAAUGUUGUCUCACCCCAAGGUCUGGCUGAGCUGUUCUGUACCACUCCAGUCCUCUUACCUGGAGCACAGGCAGUCACAUGAACUACUUUUUGUACUGUUACCAAAUGUAUCUGUGAAGGGAAGGGAGAGAAUUUGGGCUGACCAAACGAUCUGAACGUGGUAGGAUUUCGGCUGUUAAUAUUUAUAAAAGAUGAUGAAUAUCCAAAUUUAGAGAGC